CCAAACGACACUAAAUUAGAUAAGUCACUAAUGGCAGUUGGCCUUACUACAUUUGAAAAACAAAUAAAUCAAAUAUACUUGGUCCCAGAAGGACCUUGUCCAGGCUAGAUGCUCUUGUCAAUCAGAUUCCCCAGUUCGCGCAGGUUCAACAGUAAGAAUGGCCUUGAUAAAUGUUCUGUUUUGCUUCCUUCAACAUUCUGGCAAUCAGUGACUCUCUUCCUCAUUAUUCCAUCAGACUGUACUCCAGAUAUUCUAGCUUUUUGCUAUAUUUAACAGCGCUCUAUUUCCACUCGUUGAUCUUUUCUAU
rnacentral:lncRNA from 1 species